rnacentral:rRNA from 1 species
UACGUAGGGUGCAAGUGUUAUCCGGAAUCACUGGGCGUAAAGCGUCUGUAGGUGGUUUAAAAAGUCUACUGUUAAAGCUUGAAGCUUAACUUCAAAAAUGCCGUAGAAACUUUUAAACUUGAGUAUGGUAGGGGUAGAGGGAAUUUCCAGUGGAGCGGUGAAAUGCGUAGAUCUUGGAAAGACCACCAAUGGCGAAGGCACUCUACUGGGCCAUUACUGACACUAAGAGACGAAAGCUAGGGGAGCAAAUGGG